GAUAGCUGGAUUUUCCCAACAAUUGGUGACGGACUCAAUAAUUGGAAGGCUGAAGACACUAUCCCGAUUUCCUUUAGUCAGGAGUAAUUGUUAUUGUCUAUUUUAGUGUUGCAAAUUUUUUAAUUUUUACGAUUGAACUUCUUAAAGCAUUGUGUCUAUGCCCGGGGCACAAUAGCUAAUUUGUUAAGGGUUUUGUCAUUUUCAUAAGCAUAUUCACAUUCAAUGAAUCAAUGGACUUUUUGCAUUCAAAUAUUGCGCUCUUU
rnacentral:lncRNA from 1 species